rnacentral:rRNA from 1 species
GCAUGGGAAAAGUUGAUCCGGCCAAAGUCACAUGGAGGCAUGGGAUUCCGGGAAUUUCACUUAUUCAACCAAGCUCUGUUGGCGCGCCAAGCUUGGCAAAUACUGACUCAACCGGACAACUUGUGCUCACGAGUUAUGAAGGCUAAGUAUUUCCCUACUGGGAAUCUAGAGGACACAAUUUUUCCUUCUAAUUCUUCACCAACUUGGCAAGCCAUUGCUCACGGGCUUGAACUUCUGAAGCGGGGCAUCAUUUGGAGGGUGGGCAAUGGUCACUCAAUACGCAUAUGGGGAGACCGCUGGAUCCCGAAUGGUGGCUCUGGUAAACCUAUUACCGUGCAGGGCCGGUGUCGUCUGUGGAGAGUGUCCGAGCUGCUGGAUGAGCGGGGAGCAUGGCGUAUGGACCUUCUGCAGCAGUACUUCACCCCUGUGGAUGUUGAGCAGAUUGUUAAAAUUCGAACCUGCACACGUCUAGGAGAGGAUGUCCUCGCUUGGGAACCGGAGCGUAAUGGUAGCUUCACAGUGCGGAGCGCGUACAGGCUGGCACUUGAUGAACGACUACAUCCAUCUUCAGUCGCGGCGAGUAGAGCACCGGACGGGCGACGAGCCGUCUGGGCUUUUUUAUGGAGGUGCCCUGCUCCUUCAAAGGUGCGUGUGUUUGCAUGA